AUAAUUCUAAAGGUAAUUAAGUCUCCAGAUAAAUACGGAGUCAAUAUGAUCAGAACAUGAAUAUCGUAUAUAUAGUAUACAGAAAGGCGAAAAUGCAAAUCAAAAUUAAAAUAAGUAUAUAAAACACAAUCGGCAAUGUUCCUAGAGCCUCACAGAGAGAGAGUAGCAAAUUGCAUCACGUGACCCGGUCUCCUCUGAUUGGAUUUGGUAAUCAAGCUUCAUAGAGCCAUAAUGCCGUUUAGAUAACUGCAAAAACAGUAUGCUUAUCACCUUUAUGCUGCUUUUCUUUUCAAUUUUACAAUUGAUAAGGUCUUUAUAUCAAAACAGGAUUUGUGCAUAUUAUAAAGUGUCAGCCAGGUGCAGUUCUCCAAGAUGCAUAAACUCUAAUAAAAAAGUAUAUUGCUGCACAACAUUUGCCCAAGAUGCAAACUCGAGACAAAAAAUGGAUUGAUGCUGCCGAAAUUCCUGAUUGGAAACCUUCAGAAUCAGCUUUACUGUGUGAGAUUGGUACCAAAGCGUGUAUACAAAUGUUUUAUAAUGUAA